rnacentral:lncRNA from 1 species
AUGGGGCAGUCCCCCUUUAGAUACGCAGUCUAUGGGGCAGCCCCUCAACCCCUCUAUAGGGCACCCCCUCCCAAACCCUGCUAUGGGGCAGCCCCCCAUCCACUCCAGCCAUGCACAGCCUAUAGGGCACCCCCUAACUCCACUCUGGGGCAGCUCCCUGACCCCGCUAUGGGGCAGCCCCUGACCCCGCUAUGGGGCAGCCCCCUAACCCUGCUAUGGGGCAGCCCCUCAUUCAGAUACUCACAAUCUAUAGGGCAGCCCCCCCAUCCCCAGCUCAGCCCCUCCAUUGGGGGGCCCAGCUCCCCCCUUUGGGGGUCUCCCCCCAGCUCCCCCCCAGCCUCCAAUAAAGCUUCUUGUGCCCCCCAACUCCUGCCUGGUGUCUUGGGGGGGACAGGGACCCCCCAGCCCCACAGAGCCCCCCAGAGCUCUGCCCCACAGAUCCGGGGGGAGCACCGACCCAGUGACCCCAAAUCUGGGGAUGUGGGGGGAUCCCCCCUGUGCCAGCCCCACCAGAGAGAGGCUGGAUCAAUACUGGGUGGAGGCCAGAUCAAUGCCUGAUCAAUGGUGGAUCAAUACUGGAUCAAUGCCUGAUCAAUGCUGGAUUAAUGCCUGAUCAAUGCUGGAUUAAUGCCGGAUCAAUACCACAUCAAUACUAAGCCAAUGACAGACUGACACUGGUUUGAUAGUGCAUCAAUACGAGAUCAAUGCCGGAUCAAUGCUGGUUCAAUGCUGGAUCAAUACUGAGCCAAUGAUGGAUCAGUGCGGGAUCAAUGCCGGAACAAUGCUGGAUUACUGCCAGAUCAAUACCAGAUCAAUGCUGGAUCAAUGCCAGCUCAAUAUUGGCUCAAAAGUGAACCAAGGCUAGACCAAUGCCAGAUCAAUGCUGGAUCAAUGCUGGACCAAUAUCAGAUCAAUGCCGGAUCAAUGCUGGAUCAAUACUGAGAAAAUGCCGGAUCAACGCCGGAUUCAGACCU